rnacentral:lncRNA from 1 species
AUGGGGACAUUGGGGGCAGGGGGAGAUUGGGGGACAUUGGGGGAUAUUGGGGACAUUGGGGGCAAAGGGGGAUGUUGGGGGACAUUAAGGGCAGUGGGGACAUUGGGGUGUAUUGGGGGUAAUGGGGUCAAUGGGGUCAAUGGGGACGUUGGGGACAUUGUGGGGCACUGGGGGUGAUGGGGACGUUGAGUUGUAGGGAUUUGGGGCUGCUGGAGGUUUGGGGGUAAUGGGGACACGGAGCCAGCAGGGCUGCUGGGUGUCACUGCAGGUGACAGCGCUGCCACCGAGGAGCUGGGCGGUCGUGGGGACACUGAUGUCACCAACACGGACCCGAGAGCUUCAGGUGUCACCAACGUGGAUCUGGGGCCUCCAGGUGCCACCAGGACCCCCAUGGCCACCCGCGUCCCCAUGGAUACGGGGUCACCAAGUGCCACCAAUGAUGUCCCCGUGGCUCCAACAUCUCCAGAUGCCACCAACGUCCCCAUGGAUUUAAGGUCACCAAGUGCCACCAAUGACGUCCCCAUGGCACCAGGACCUCCAGAUGCCACCAGGACCCCCAUGGCCACCCGUGUCCCCAUGGAUUUAAGGUCACCAAGUGCCACCAAUGACAUCCCGAUGGCACCAGGACCUCCAGAUGCCACCAGGACCCCCAUGGCCACCAACGUCCCGAUGGAUUUAAGGUCACCAAGUGCCACCAAUGACGUCCCCAUGGC